rnacentral:rRNA from 1 species
GCUGGCGGCACGCCUAACCCAUGCAAGUCGAACGAAGUAGCAAUACUUAGUGGCAGACGGGUGAGUAACAUGUGGGUAUCUGCCCUUUGGCCUGGAAUAACACGAGGAAACUUGUGCUAAUACCGGAUAAGUCUUUACGGAGAAAGCUUUAUGCACCAUUGGAUGAGCCCGCACUUGAUUAGUUAGUUGGUAGGGUAAUGGCCUACCAAGACUGUGAUCAAUAGCUGAUUUGAGAGGAUGAUCAGCCACAUUGGGACUGAGACACGGCCCAAACUCCUACGGGAGGCAGCAGUGGGGAAUCUUGCACAAUGGAGGAAACUCUGAUGCAGCGAUGCCGCGUGAGUGAAGAAGGCCCUUGGGUUGUAAAGCUCUUUCGUCGGGGAAGAAAAUGACUGUACCCGAAUAAGAAGGUUCGGCUAACUUCGUGCCAGCAGCCGCGGUAAUACGAAGGGACCUAGCGUAGUUCGGAAUUACUGGGCUUAAAGAGUUCGUAGGUGGUUGAAAAAGUUGGUGGUGAAAUCCCAGAGCUUAACUCUGGAACUGCCAUCAAAACUUUUCAGCUAGAGUAUGAUAGAGGAAAGCAGAAUUUCUAGUGUAGAGGUGAAAUUCGUAGAUAUUAGAAAGAAUACCAAUUGCGAAGGCAGCUUUCUGGAUCAUUACUGACACUGAGGAACGAAAGC